CGACUCUCGGCAACGGAUAUCUCGGCUCUCGCAUCGAUGAAGAACGUAGCGAAAUGCGAUACUUGGUGUGAAUUGCAGAAUCCCGUGAACCAUCGAGUCUUUGAACGCAAGUUGCGCCCGAAGCCGUCAGGCCGAGGGCACGCCUGCCUGGGCGUCACG
rnacentral:rRNA from 85 species